rnacentral:rRNA from 1 species
AGUCCGAGUUGUAAUUUGUAGAAGAUGCUUUGGGUUGCGAGUUCGGCCUAAGUUCCUUGGAACAGGACGUCAUAGAGGGUGAGAAUCCCGUAUGUGGCCGAGGCCCGCGCCUAUGUAAAGCUCUUUCAACGAGUCGAGUUGUUUGGGAAUGCAGCUCAAAAUGGGUGGUAAAUUUCAUCUAAAGCUAAAUAUGGGCCAGAGACCGAUAGCGCACAAGUAGAGUGAUCGAAAGAUGAAAAGCACUUUGGAAAGAGAGUUAAACAGUACGUGAAAUUGUUGAAAGGGAAGCGCUUGCAACCAGACUUGGGCGCUGCUGAUCACCCCGAGUUCUCUCGGGUGCACUCGACAGCGCACAGGCCAGCAUCGGUUCGGGUGGCUGGAUAAAGGCCGUAGGAACGUGGCUCCCUUCGGGGAGUGUUAUAGCCUACGGUGCCAUGCAGCCCAGCCGGACCGAGGACCGCGCCUUCGGGCUAGGAUGCUGGCGUAAUGGUUGUAAGCGACCCGUCUUGAAACACGGACCAAGGAGUCUAACAUCUAUGCGAGUGUUUGGGUGGUAAACCCAUACGCGGAAUGAAAGUGAACGUAGGUGAGAACCCCUUUGGGGCGCAUCAUCGACCGAUCCUGAU